rnacentral:lncRNA from 1 species
CUACUGCAGAGACCAGCUAAGCCAUUAGCGCUUACAGCACUGAAUGACGUGUGUGCAGAUUGCAUCUAACUAAAAAGCAUCUCUCCCGCUUUCCCCGUGGACAGACUGGAAUCACCGGACGACAAGGAGAGAAAAAGAGAGAGAGAAGUGAGGGAACGAGAAGGAACUGGACUUGUAAGGGGAAUUCAUGGAGGUAUAAAGAGAAUUUGCAAAGGAUAAUGGAGAAGACUUGAGUAAAAAAAGAAGAGUGGAGCGCCCAGAGAAGUGCAGCGCGGAAAGGAUGCUGCUGGCUAAAGUUUGUGGACAUUUUUAAAAAGGGAUCUGCGAACUAAGUGGAGCAGUGUGACAGCUUCCAACAGGAAAAGGGUAAGACUUUUGGAUGUCGUUCAUAUCACUACUUCAAAU